CGCACGGGUGAGUAACGCGUAUGCGACCUGCCCGUUGCAGGGGGAUAAUCGGGAGAAAUCCCAUCUAAUACCGCGUAACGCCGCGGGGCUGCAUGGCCCUGCGGCCAAAGGGAGCGAUUCCGGCAACGGAUGGGCAUGCGUGACAUUAGCUAGUUGGCGGGGCAACGGCCCACCAAGGCGACGAUGUCUAGGGGUUCUGAGAGGAAGGUCCCCCACACUGGUACUGAGACACGGACCAGACUCCUACGGAAGGCAGCAG
rnacentral:rRNA from 1 species